rnacentral:lncRNA from 1 species
UUUGCUAGGGUUUUUGGUGCUUAUAUAUAUAUCACUACACCUUUGCCGCACACCACCACCUCUCAUACACAACCAUUCACGUCAGAAACUCAUCCCAUACCUUUGCCGCAGCCUUCCACCACCAUUCUCCCAAAUUUCUGCCAAAAAUCAACCCUUGCCGCACCACCCAUCCAUCCUAAACACCACCAUACAUCCUCCAUCCAUUCUACACCAUCUAAUAACCCAAAGAACCUGUCCAAAGUCUCUGUGCCGUGAUAGGAGCAUAUUUAUGCGACUUAGUUAACAUGUUUUCUUGCAUUUACUUAGUUAGUUAUUGCUUAUAAGAGUGUUUUAAGCUAUUUUCGUGUGUUUAUAGGUCCUAAUAGCAAAGUUGGAAAGAAAGUGCAUUUUGGUGCAAUUUGGAGCAAUUUUGGGCCAAAAUGGAUUGCAUGCAUAUGGAGCAAGUGGGAUGGACGUUUUUGGUGUUUUAAAAAGGGUUUCAACACAUGCAAAAAUCUGAAUAAUGAAGUUGAAGUAUGGAAGUGUGCAGAUACAUACACUUAAGGAACAAUUUGAAAGGAAAAGAAGUGAAAGAUGCCAUUUGUUGGAUUGCUUUACAAGUUGUAUUCACAUUUUCAGCAACUACAAACAUAAUUGCAAGCUGAAAUGAUGCAUAACAUGUGUGUGUAGAGGUGUAAAGUGGCCAAAAGUUGAUGUUUGCAAGAUGAAAUGAUGCAAAACAUGUGUGUGAAAGUUGUCUAAUAGCUAGUACAUGUGGAAAAGGGAUGGAAUACAAGGCAAAUGCAUCAGAAAUUGAAGAAUGAAGGCACAUGGACAGCUACAAAGGAGUUGAAUUAGCAAGAGAGGAAUGAUUGCCUUUUGUUAAAGGCAAGACACAAUGAUAAAAGAGCAUGUAAACUAGCUGUUUUUGCAUCAUUUUGGUCUUUGUUUGUAUUGUUUAUUGAAGCCACUUGAGUGAUUCUUUGCUUUGGAGCUUCUAUAAAUAGGGAGUGAAGGGAAGAACACUAGGGACAUGAAAAAUACCCCCUUUCAUCUCAGAAAUUCGUCCAGCCACAUUCCACACCAUUCUACACUCCCAAAUCACCAUACAUCCAUAAUUCCUUACCUUUUUCGCACCCUCCACCUAUCCUAAACACUACCAUACCAUCUCACAUCCAUUCCUCCAUAAAAAUAUCACCCAAAACCUGUCCCCAAGUCUUGUGCCCGCAGCAAAGAGGAAGGAGGACAGUCCAUAGGCGUGCUUGUUGUUCAAAGUGGAUCAUUGGAGCGUCUAGGUGUUUUCUUUCUUUUGUUUUCAAUGUCUAAAUUUGUUUAUCUUUGCUUUGUGAGUAUGAGAAACUAAACCCCCCUUAGCUAGGGGGGAAUUCGAAGCCAUGUUUAUGCUUGCAAUAUGAUUUGAUUACUUCUAAUUGCGUUUCAUAAGCUAUGAAUUCAAUUUACUUAUCUGUUCGUAUAAACACUGAUUUGUGUAUGUUGGUUGAGAGUGCACGCUUAAUUUUCAUGCAUGAAUUUGAUGCUAGAAUAUAAGAGAGUUUCACCUAAUUGUUAUGAACUUAUAUUCGCAAGUAGUGAAGGUUGCUAGUCACAAUCGCGUUAAGUAAAAAUUCUUGGCAUAAGUUUCAUGCAAUUCAUAGUAACGAGUGCCUCGUCAAUGCUUAUGUUUUCCAUAGAACUUAAUGAUUCUUGCUUGUAUCUCUAUUAUGCAAUUCAUGUAGGGAACUUGUAGGGAAUGUUUUGGGUUGUCGUAUGCAAUCAUCCAACACAAUAACUUGUGGAAAAACUGAGGUUUAAUUAGUGCAAUUCACGGUUAAUUUGGGGCAUUGAGUAUUCUUAGUUUAUCGAAAAGCAACUGGAAAUCGUUUUGUAUGCAAGUGUGACAUGUGUGGAGAAGAACCUCCUAGCUAGCCUUCCAUCCAUAAGUUUCAUUCAAAUUCAUUUACUAUCUGUUUUGUUUUACAAAGUUUGUUUUGUUUUCAAAUUCGUCAAGAACCAAUCUCCCAUUUAUUUCAAAGUGUUAGAUUAGUUAGUAAUCACUUUAGAUUAUGUUUUUAAGUGUUUUAGUUCAUUAGAAAACCAAAAUUCGUCCAAGUUUGUGUUAGAGUCCCAAAACUGCCCAGAAAGUGUUUUUAAGGCAGUUUUGAGUCUUUGGUUGCUGUUUUGAAUCGUUUUGUUUAUCUUAGUAUUUUAAAGUAUAGUAUUGCAUUCUUUGAGUCUAGUUUAGU